rnacentral:rRNA from 1 species
UACGUAGGGGCGAGCGUUGUCCGGAAUGAUUGGGCGUAAAGGGCGCGUAGGCGGCUGUGUAAGUCAGUAGUGGAAGUCCAGCUUUUAAGGUUGGAAGUGCUAUUGAAACUGUGCAGCUUGAGUGCAGGAGAGGUUAUCGGAAUUCCCGGUGUAGCGGUGAAAUGCGUAGAGAUCGGGAGGAACACCAGUGGCGAAGGCGGGUAACUGGACUGCAACUGACGCUGAGGCGCGAAAAGUGUGGGGAGCAAACAGGAUUAGAUACCCCCCGUAGU